rnacentral:rRNA from 1 species
AUUGAACGCUGGCGGCAGGCCUAACACAUGCAAGUCGAGCGGUAACAGAAAGUAGCUUGCUACUUUGCUGACGAGCGGCGGACGGGUGAGUAAUGCUUGGGAACAUGCCUUGAGGUGGGGGACAACAGUUGGAAACGACUGCUAAUACCGCAUAAUGUCUACGGACCAAAGGGGGCUUCGGCUCUCGCCUUUAGAUUGGCCCAAGUGGGAUUAGCUAGUUGGUGAGGUAAUGGCUCACCAAGGCGACGAUCCCUAGCUGGUUUGAGAGGAUGAUCAGCCACACUGGGACUGAGACACGGCCCAGACUCCUACGGGAGGCAGCAGUGGGGAAUAUUGCACAAUGGGCGCAAGCCUGAUGCAGCCAUGCCGCGUGUGUGAAGAAGGCCUUCGGGUUGUAAAGCACUUUCAGUCAGGAGGAAAGGUUAGUAGUUAAUACCUGCUAGCUGUGACGUUACUGACAGAAGAAGCACCGGCUAACUCCGUGCCAGCAGCCGCGGUAAUACGGAGGGUGCGAGCGUUAAUCGGAAUUACUGGGCGUAAAGCGUACGCAGGCGGUUUGUUAAGCGAGAUGUGAAAGCCCCGGGCUCAACCUGGGAACUGCAUUUCGAACUGGCAAACUAGAGUGUGAUAGAGGGUGGUAGAAUUUCAGGUGUAGCGGUGAAAUGCGUAGAGAUCUGAAGGAAUACCGAUGGCGAAGGCAGCCACCUGGGUCAACACUGACGCUCAUGUACGAAAGCGUGGGGAGCAAACGGGAUUAGAUACCCCGGUAGUCCACGCCGUAAACGAUGU